rnacentral:rRNA from 1 species
UAGGGAAUCUUCGGCAAUGGGGGGAACCCUGACCGAGCCACGCCGCGUGAGUGAAGAAGGUUUUCGGAUCGUAAAGCUCUGUUGUUAAGGAAGAACGAGUGUGAGAAUGGAAAGUUCAUACUGUGACGGUACUUAACCAGAAAGGGACGGCUAACUACGUGCCAGCAGCCGCGGUAAUACGUAGGUCCCGAGCGUUGUCCGGAUUUAUUGGGCGUAAAGCGAGCGCAGGCGGUUAGAUAAGUCUGAAGUUAAAGGCAGUGGCUCAACCAUUGUAGGCUUUGGAAACUGUUUAACUUGAGUGCAGAAGGGGAGAGUGGAAGUCCAUGUGUAGCGGUGAAAUGCGUAGAUAUAUGGAGGAACACCGGUGGCGAAAGCGGCUCUCUGGUCUGUAACUGACGCUGAGGCUCGAAAGCGUGGGGAGCGAACAGG